GGUAGGAAAGCAUGCCAGCUCCCUCAACCAAUCGCAGGGCGAAGCGGCCCAACGGGCUGAGGCGUGGCCUCCUGCAAGAUCUUAUCAAACUGGGAGGUCGGGCGGAGCGAGGGGGGCGUGGUUACGUGACUGACCUCGGCAACAGCCAAUCGUAAGUGAAGACGGCUGAGCGGAGUGCCCCUCUUACGUCACAACCGCGUAACUCUUGAAGGCUUGAGGGGAGGUCCCGCUCCAGCAGCGAGCGUAUGUGCACGCCUGCGCGACAGCUCAAGGCGAUGGCCGGAGACCUUGAACUGCUUCUACAGGACGAGUAUGAAUUCGCUGAUCAGAAGUUUGUAGAUUUGAGGACUGGCCGUUUACUCUUACUAGGCUCUCUUACCGGUUACAUCCAGAUUUUUCUUAAAGACCGGAAAUGCUGGUCAUCUUAGUUUUUUGUCCGAUGCUUUCUGUAUGAUGAUGCCUAAUAAAAAUAAGUGAACUGCA